UACGUAGGGUGCAAGCGUUGUCCGGAAUUAUUGGGCGUAAAGAGCUCGUAGGCGGCUUGUCGCGUCGGCUGUGAAAACCCGAGGCUCAACCUCGGGCCUGCAUUCGAUACGGGCAGACUAGAGUUGGUGACAGGGGAGACUGGAAUUCCUGGUGUAGCGGUGAAAUGCGCAGAUAUCAGGAGGAACACCGGUGGCGAAGGCGGGUCUCUGGGCCAAUACUGACGCUGAGGAGCGAAAGCGUGGGGAGCGAACAGG
rnacentral:rRNA from 1 species